AUUUGGAAAGAACUAUAGAGGAGCGUGUU
rnacentral:piRNA from 1 species